rnacentral:rRNA from 1 species
UACGUAGGGGGCUAGCGUUGUCCGGAUUUAUUGGGCGUAAAGAGCGUGUAGGCGGCCAUGUAGGUCCGGUGUGAAAACUCGAGGCUUAACCUCGAGAUGUCAUCGGAAACCAUUUGGCUAGAGUCCGGAAGAGGAGAGUGGAAUUCCUGGUGUAGCGGUGAAAUGCGCAGAUAUCUGGAGGAACACCGGUGGCGAAGGCGGCAUCCUGGACCGAUACUGACGCUGAGGAGCGAAAGCCAGGGGAGCAAACGGG